GACGGAGGGACGGACGCCAGCCGCGCCGACCGGAGCGUGCGCCCCGCGACCGGGGGCGCCGUCCAGGCGCGCGCCCCCGACCCGCGACCGGACCGGGGCGAUUGGCGCCCCGCACCGACGCGCCCCUCAGCAUGGAGCGCCCCCGGGGGCUGCCCUGAGGCGGCGGCGGCGAUGCAGGCAGCGCGGCGGCUGCCGGGGCCAGGAACGGCCGCCCGGAGCUCGGAGGACGCGGAGCGCGCCGCGCCCGGGGCACUGACCGAGGGUCUUCCAGCCGCUGAGUCCUCUCCAGCUGGUGCCUGGGACAUGGCAGCCGCUGCUCGUGCAGCCUUGAAGACAGUCACUUGCCUGGUGAGCACCGUCACUUAGGAGACAGGAUUCCAGAGGAGCUGUCCCGCCUGGAGCCGGCCCGGGGGCGAGCUGGGGUCCCACCGCCCCCGCCCCCGGGAUGACCGCAUCUGGCCGUGCCAACCCCUACAGCAUCGUGUCGUCCGAGGAGGACGGGCUGCACCUGGUCACCAUGUCGGGCGCCAACGGCUUCGGCAAUGGCAAGGUGCACACUCGGCGCAGGUGCCGGAACCGCUUCGUCAAGAAGAACGGCCAGUGCAACAUCGAGUUCGCCAACAUGGACGAGAAGUCGCAGCGCUACCUGGCCGACAUGUUCACCACCUGCGUGGACAUCCGCUGGCGCUACAUGCUGCUCAUCUUCUCGCUGGCCUUCCUUGCCUCCUGGCUGCUGUUCGGCGUCAUCUUCUGGGUCAUCGCCGUGGCCCACGGGGACCUGGAGCCGGCCGAGGGCCGCGGCCGCACGCCCUGCGUGCUGCAGGUGCACGGCUUCAUGGCGGCCUUCCUCUUCUCCAUUGAGACGCAGACCACCAUUGGCUACGGGCUGCGCUGCGUGACUGAGGAGUGCCCGGUGGCCGUGUUCAUGGUGGUAGCACAGUCCAUCGUGGGCUGCAUCAUCGACUCCUUCAUGAUCGGCGCCAUCAUGGCCAAGAUGGCGCGGCCCAAGAAGCGCGCGCAGACGUUGCUGUUCAGCCACAACGCGGUAGUGGCGCUGCGGGACGGCAAGCUCUGCCUCAUGUGGCGCGUGGGCAACCUGCGCAAGAGCCACAUCGUGGAGGCCCACGUGCGGGCCCAGCUCAUCAAGCCCCGGGUCACGGAGGAGGGCGAGUACAUCCCGCUGGACCAGAUCGACAUCGACGUCGGCUUCGACAAGGGCCUGGACCGCAUCUUCCUGGUGUCGCCCAUCACCAUCCUGCACGAGAUCGACGAGGCCAGCCCGCUGUUUGGCAUCAGCCGGCAGGACCUGGAGACGGACGACUUUGAGAUUGUGGUCAUCCUGGAGGGCAUGGUGGAGGCUACGGCCAUGACCACACAGGCCCGCAGCUCCUACCUGGCCAACGAGAUCCUGUGGGGCCACCGCUUCGAGCCUGUCCUCUUCGAGGAGAAGAACCAGUACAAGAUCGACUACUCGCACUUCCACAAGACAUAUGAGGUGCCGUCCACGCCCCGCUGCAGCGCCAAGGACCUGGUGGAGAACAAGUUCCUGCUGCCCAGCGCCAACUCCUUCUGCUACGAGAACGAGCUGGCCUUCCUGAGCCGCGACGAGGAGGACGAGGCGGACGGAGAGCAGGACGGCCACGGCCCCCAGGCCAGGCGCGACUUUGACAGACCCCAGGCCGGCACCGCCCUCGAUCAGCGGCCCUACAGACGGGAGUCCGAGAUCUGAGCCGCCAGCGGCCAAGGUGCAGCAUCCGCCCCGCCGGGGAAAGGCCCCGAGUCCCGCGAGGGCCCCGGGCCAGAGCGGCAUGGGCUUGGGCCCUGAUUGCAGACUCAGUAGCGUUUUAGAUGUUUUACAUUUCUUCACAGCGGCCUGGGAAUGUUGGUGGGAGAGCGGGUGGCCUGAGUGGCCUCUGAGGCCAGAGCAGGCCUGGGGGCGGGGAGGUGGCCUCCGGGUGGGGGGGAGGUGGCCGGGCCACAGGAGCUGGGGGCUUCUGCCUCAGGGGAGAGCCACAGCCUCUCCAGAAACGGCUCACCAGCUGCCCGGCCUCUGUGGGCGAAGGCCGGCAGGCUGCAGUGCACCUCGCUGGUUUUUAACUUGGGGAGAAACACCGGGUUUUGGCUUUCUCAACCUUAGUUUAAGACUGUUUACAAAAAAAAAUUAACAUGUGAUUGAAAAAAAGUUUUAUAAUUUGAGGGGGGUGGGAAAGGACAAUUAGAAUUCCAUUAGUCUGCCAGGAUGCAAGUAGCUGGGUGGGGUUUCCAGAAGGUUCCCGAGGCUGGGCUGGCCUCUCUUCCAUGAAGGCCGGGCACGUGGCCUGAGGGCAAGCACGGAGGUCAACCCCGCCUCCCCACCCCGUUGUGCUCUGCGCUCACGGGGUGAACUGGAUUUCCUUUGUGAUGGCAAAACCAAGACCUUGUUAAUGAUCAUAACAAAAGCUUUUCAGUGUCACUGGGGUGGGAGUCAGGGCCGGGAAGAAUCCAGUCUGAGCUUUUUAAGUUUGACUCUGUACCUCCUUUGAGGUGCAUCUCAGGGCCAGGAUGGGACCUGCCUGCGGUGGAAGGUCUGCUCCCCCCCCCCCACCCAGCCCCACCCACCCUCCACGACCCCAGCCCGCUGGAUUCUCCCUCCUUUUCUGCCCCGUGGCCUCCACCCCCUUCCCCAGAGAGGGCCAGCUGGGGAACGUAGGGGUGGAUGACUCCAUGGGAAGGGGGGCCAGCUUCCCCGACUCCAAGGAAGUGUUUCAGCCCGUCCCCGCGGGGCCCCAGCAUGAGUCGUGCCUUAGAGACCCUGGGGGUCUGGCUCCAGUUGUCACUGUUUUUAUUGGACUCACCCAUCCUCCCUGCUGCCCCCGGCUCCACCGUGGCCCUCUGUCUGCGGAGACCAGGCCGAGCCGGCACCCAUCCCCACAAGGUGGGCAGCAGAGGUGAGCCUGGGUGGGGCCCAGCCAGGCUGUGCCCUGGCGCCGAACGCACAGGAAUGUCCUAGGAGAGCCGUGGGCUGGUCAGCACCCACAUCUGGGCACCUCGGUCGGGGAGCGGCUCGGGCCGCCUGAUUUGUCACUGGCUCUUGCCUCUGCCAGCCCAAGAGCUGCCCAACGCAGGCUCGUUCCUGGCGAAGGAAACAGCUGUCAGGGCGGAGCCUGGGCCCCUCCCAGGACUGCUGAGAGCGCUGUCCUCGCAAAUGACCAAGCCGGUCAGUCAUUAGAGAGCCCCAGCCUGCCUAUCCAGGCUGCCGCGGGCCAGCUCACCACCCGGAGAUGCCAGGGCUCCGGCCCAAGUUAGGAGACAGAGGCCGAGUGCAGAUGGGCGAGGGGCAAGGAGGGGCCAGGGGCUGCAGUGGGGGCUUCUGCCUCUGCCCUCCUCCAGCCCCUGCAACAGCGGGAGGCCUGGCCCUGAAGUCAGGGGCCGUGCAGGGUCCGGGCACCGGCUGUGUAUUCCCACCCAGAGAGCCCCGCCCGGGCCUCAGACGCCACCCUAACUUCCGGUCAGGAAGAGUCAGAAGGGUCAGCCCGAGGCAGGCAGAGGCCUCGUUCCUCUCAGGAUCUGCUGGACAGGCCUCUGUCCCUUCCUGGCCUGAGCCGCUGCUUCCUCAGCCUUAGUCCUGGGCGGUGAUGUGGAGUCCCCGUGGUUGCCAGGUGGGUGGCAGGUGGCCCUGGUCGCUCGGGGCUGGCACAUGGUCCUGUUGGGCCAGCCCUCCACUCACCCCACCAGGGCAGAGCCCCGGGGGCCCUGGGUCCCCCGAGGCCCUAGCUGUCUCGGGUGGCCCGGGGCGCCUCCUCUCGGGCCUGUCCCCCUCCCAGGCCCACGCUGGACGGCUCAGGCCGCAGACCCUGCAGGAGGGCCUCCCGAGCUGCCUUUCAUCUCUCACCAAAGGCAGAUGCUGCGUUUUCAAACUCCGCUGCCCUCUUUUUGCCUCCUCUGGGUUUAUUUAUUUAUUUAUUUAUUUAUUUAUUUAUUUAUUGCUUGUGCUGAAGACCAAAAUAGCCUCCCUCUUCAGUGCCCUUGAAGCGGGAGGGCGGAUGGGGGGAGCCGUGUGUGCGGAGGCAGGCUCACGUGGUCCCUGGGGUGCGUGUGCCCGUGUGUGGGGCGUGGAACGUGCGAACCCGGUGAGUGUGCGCUGUGCCGUGUGUUGUGUGUGCGCCGAGCACGCGUGUGUGCUACGUGUGGCCUGUGUGCUGAGCGGGUGGGUGUACAAACCUGCUUCUGAGCCCGCCGCCCCCGGCAGUGGUAUUUCCGGGAGGUUCCUCGACAGCCUGGACCCCGUGGUGCAGAGGCUGGAGCUGGCUGAGGCGCCCUCCGCCCUGAGACGCUGAGCUGCUUACGUGGGGCGGGGCCUGGGGACAAAAUACGUGUGUGAGCACCGAGGCGUGAAUUCCCGUGUGGAAUCAUCUCAUCCGUGCGCCGGUAAAACGUGUGCAAUUAUGGCUUUUCCUGUAAGUGCCCGAGUGUACAUGGGAGUGCUGUGCAGAUGUGUGCCCGCGACGAGCUCCGUACACGUGAGAGCCUGGGCUGAUGGUGUCUAUACGUGAUGUAUACAUGUGUGUAAACGCACACAGGCUCACACAGUUAUGUGUGUACCUACCCAGAGGUCUGUUUGUGUGCUCGUUGUAUACGCAGGCGUUGGUUUAAAUGUUUACCAGGCUGUGGGGCUGGGCACGCAGUACUCAGGACGGACACCGGCCGUGGUCCCACCAGCCCUCUGCCCCGAUUCUGUCCACGUGGGCAGGCGUGGAGCAUGUGUGACAGGGUGAGGCUUCUGUGUACCCGGGCACAAGGUGACAGCUACACGUGUAUGAGGACUUGGCCUCCAAAGGUGAGCGUUUGCACGCAGUUGCAUGCAGGAGGCCCGUGUGCAUUUGUCCACGAACGCACGUCCGUGUGUGUGCUGGGCUCCGUCAGCAGGGCUGUGCCUGCCUGCUGGGGGGGCGUGUGUGCGUUCGCGGACCCGCCCGGGUCCCGGAGGUCGUGUGUCGAGACGGGCGAGUGUCUCAGAGCGCGGCGCCCCCUGCCCCCCCGGACCUGCUGGUGCUGUACCACCCUGGGGUCCUGGCGGGGGCGGGGGGCCUGGCGGGAAGGAGGCCCCUGCACAGGUCAAAUCGAUGUCAAAUCUAUUUUAAAUGGUGAAACUGGAGAAUUUUCAUGUUAUUUUCAAUACACAGCAGUAUCUAAAGACGUAGGCCACAAGACUAGACCGCAUUAAACCAUUUUGAUCUCUCGGAGUGCCACUGCGUGCAGACGUGUGUUUGAAAGGCCCCGCCUGGCGCGGCGGGUGCUGGUGCUCGUGCUGCCUUCACCCCCCCGCCGUGUCCUGGGCUGGGGGGGCUCCCCAGAGGCCGGCGGGGGAGGGGAGAGAGGACAGAACUGGCCUCCUCGAGGACCCCCGCGUGCUUUUCAGGCCGUCGCCCACGCCCUCACCUUCCCGCCCCCCGCCACCACUGUCCUCUCCACGCGGCCCGAGUGUGCCAGACCGCCCGCCUUGCCUGGACUCGCGCCCCUGCCUUGCCCUCCCCGGGCCCGUGCUCCCCUUUCCUUUCUUCUGCAAGGGUUUGAUGAGGGCAGGGCAGGCGCGGUCUGGGCCCCCAGCUCGAGGCAGCCCUGCUUCUCACCGGCGGACAGGAAGCCGGGUGGCGUGCGGGCGCUGGGGUGGCUGAGGCUGGGGCGAUGGGGCCGGAGGGCAGGCAGGUGCCGCCGUCGCGGAGAGCAGCGUGCACGUGCACAGCCCGUUCCGGGCAAAGGAGAGUGUCGUCGCCCCGAGGGCUCCGGUGGCUUCUGGAAGUAGCCCCCAGGGAGAGAGUCCUUCCCUUUGCCCAAACAUUCCCUGAGUGGAGACCUCCUCUGUGUCAGUGAAGGACCGGGGCCCUCAUGCCGUGGGGUCCAGAUGACGUUCCAGACCACAGGAUAAGAAGCCGGGUGAUGGGCGGGGCUGGGGUGGUUGCGAGGGCUUCCUGGCAGAUGUCCCGUGAGUCGGACCUGGAGAUGGUUGGCUUUAUGUGGGGCGGGGGCUUUCCUCCCCUGGCCCUGAAGCUUUCCCUGCGACCCCAGUGCCGGAGUCUAAGCCAGUUGUGGCCUCCCCCGCUCCCCUGAGAGCUAUUUCCACAGCACUGACAGGUCCGGCCUCUGGGCAGGAGGACCUGGCCCCAGCCGGAGCUCAGGAGUCCCUCGGGGCCCGUCCUGGCUGGGACCCCGGGUCAGACGCCAGGCCACGCGCUUGCUCAGUGAUCUGGAGUAGUGGCCUCCUUUCUCCUCCGGCCUCAGUCUCUCCAUCAGUGGAAAAGGGUGUUCCUAACAAUGGCCAGCUCCCAGACUUGUUGAAAAGAAUGGAGGAGAGAAGCCCUUGGUGCAGCGAGUGCUUUGGACCCGUGCCCUCCUGUUUGAACACAGGUCUUCGGGUAAGGGUGACGCAGCCAGGACCCCCUCUGUGUGUGGCCGUCACCACUAGCUGCCUCUGCUCUUUCCUGCCUCCCUGAGGAUGAGAGAAUCCGCCUGAAAACCGGUACACGUGGGGCGGGCGGGGAAUCAGGACCAGGGCCCGGGCUUCCUGUUCCGGAGGAUGUCGGUUCAGGGUCAGUGAGGGACUUGCCCAAGGGCAAUGGGAGGGUAGUUAUCUGAGCUGGGGUCAGAGCUAGGCCUCAAGCCCCCAGCCCCCGCUGCGGACUUCACGGACUUCACGUCUGCUCCUUUGACCCAGAUGCCUCCGCCCUCCCGGGCUGGAGGGAUAACCUGGCCAGAGGGUCUGCCCCGGUUUAUCCCCAGGUCCACCUUCUGCGACUUGGGAGGACGUCGGAAGUGGGCUUCUCUUCAGUGUCAAGGGGCCAAGGUCAGAGCGGUGGGGCCUCGAAGGACACCCCCAUCCCCCCACAGCCCACCCUCCACCCAGGACCAGAGGGGUCUCAAAACCAGAAUUAGGCCUUUUGACCCCGCUGCCUGAAACCCUCCCUGUCUUCCUUCCACACUGGAACUAGAGUCCCCGCUGUUUCUCCAGCCCUGGAAUCUGCCCAUCCUGCCCCCUCCCCUGCUCCAGGCACCCUGCCUCGCUUUAGCUCCUUGAGAGCACGUUUUGCCCCUACCCCAGGACCUUUGCAAGGGCUGGUCCCUCUGCCUGGAUCCCUCUUCCCCCAGACCCGCCUCCCACCCUUCCCGGCCCCCGUGCAGAGGCUCCCCAAGGGCAGGGAUGGCCGUGUCUCUCGUCCACUCCUGGGUGCCCAGUGCCAAGAGCCGGGCUAGGAGGUGCUCCCUGUGUAUUCGUCUAACGGAUGGUGGGUGGAUGGAGGGCAGGCCCUGCGGGCUUCACCACCCAGAGAAGUGUCUUCAGGCCUCACCAACCUGCAGCCCCCCUUCACCUUCCCACUGACCCAGCUGGGCCAGAGCCCGGCCACCAGCCACGCUGAGGAGAGAGCAGCUCGGCCUGGGGCAGGAAGGGUGGAGAGCUUGGUGCUACAGGGGAUUUGAGCCCACCGAGGGCUCUGGGCCCUACUUUCUUCCCUCUCAGUGCUGCCGAGAAAGCACAGAAGCGGGCCGUCCUUGCCCAAGCCUGGACCGGGGUCUUGAAGGCCUUCUGCCUCCUAAAUGCUCAUGACUGGCCAUCUCUGGGCCUCAGUGUCCCUACGUGAGAAAUGGGAGCUCCACCCAUUCCUUCAACAAGUGUUUACGAUUUGCCACUGUGUGCCAGGCAGGCAUUGGCACCCUGGGAGGAAGCAGGGCAGGCCCAGCCCCUGACGUCAGUCUAGGGGCUCAGGGGACAGGCGUUCAACACGUGAGUCCCCAGAAGGAGGGCCUGCAAUAGGGAUUCGUGUGCGCGUGAUUCACUGGGGGGUUGGGGGCAGGGAAGCAGCAGAAGCAGGAGAGGAGCUGAAGGGCCCAGGUGGGUCCAACUGACGGCCGGCUGGCCUGACCCUGGGCUCAGGAAUGUGAGCUGUCCCACUUGCCGGCGGGGGCUGGGCUUUUGUACCCUCAGCAGCCAGCCUCUGGCUACUGCCACCCUGCCGAGCGGGGAGGUCCAGCCUCUCAGCCAUUUCGGGCCAAGGUGGCUCCUGUUGGCCCAGAAUGGUUCUCCAGGGAGGGGGCAGCUGAGAGCCAUUAGCAGAUGACACAGCACCUGGGCGCCCGGCUCAUCCCGGUAAAGGGGUCCAGGUGGCGCACAAGCCGGGCCUGCUGCAGCAGUAGCGAUGCAGCGCGGUCCCUGAGUGAGGGACACGAAAGGGUGCCGUGGGUAAAGCAAGGGGAGGCCUUGUUGCAGGGACCAAGCCGGGGGGUCCUCCAAGGAAGUGACAUUUCCUCUGAGAUCUGAAGGGUGGGUAGAGGUUUGCCAGGUAUGUGGGGAGCAGCUUCCCAGAGAGAGAGAGAGACCAGCACUAGCAAAGGCCCUGGAGUAGGAGAGCUCAGGAAGAAGCAAAAGGAGCCGCUUGGCUGGGGCAGGGAAGGCCACCCAGGGCCCGUGGACCCCACGCAGGGCCCGGCCUCCUUCCCCAGCACCCAGCUUCCCUCAGGCCUCCCUGGCAGCCUUGCUGCACUGCCCUCCUCCUCCUGGAAAGUCAGCCUCUCCGGAGCGGGAGCUUUGGUUCUAUCUUGUUCACGACAGAGCCCCAGCGCCCAGAACAGCCGGUGCCUGGCAUCCUGUAGGGGCUCAGCUUUGGCUGCUCCCGCAAGAUGUGAAAGAACCGCGGGAAAAUAACAUUUUGAAAUGCACAAAAUGAAAUACCUCUGGUGGCAGAGGAGACCCAUCCUCGUGCAAAGCAGUUACCAAAAUACAAACGAAAAAAUUUGUGGGAUAUUAAUAACCACAUUUCCUCGCUAACCGCUGAUGCCAGCUUCCUGGUGGUGAGCACAGCCUCACUGUCGGGGGUCCCAUAAAGUCACUGACGAAGAAACCCCCCCAUUCUGCAGGCAGCCGAAUCGCUUCCAUCCAUAAUCGAAGAGGACGGCAAAUUUCCAUUUGAGGUGAGCAACACGGAGAUGGACAUGUUUCUCGUCCCAGUACAUAUGCCCCCGGGUUUUCCCCUGAGCCCUGGUGGGCGUGCGGGCCCGGGUUCAGGCCCUGCAGGCCCAGUGGUUUGGAGACAGGCUUGCUGCUGUCAGGCAGGACAGGGGAACUUUGCUGGCAGAGGCCCGAGAAUAAAUACCGUACGCUUUGUGGCCCUGAGGUCUCUGGAAGCGGCGUGGCUCUGUUGUAGCAUGAAAGCAAACCCGUUAGUUAUUAGUUACUGUGUUCAAAUAAAACCUCAUUUAUGGACACUGACAUCCGAAUUUCAUAUAUUUUUCACAUGGUGCAAACUAUGACUCUUCUUUUGAUUCUGCCCCCACCCCACAAUCAUUAAAAAAAUGCAAAAACCAUUCUUAGCUAAAGGGCCAUACAGAAACAGGCCGUGGGCUACAUCAGAACCUCCCAGAGGGCUUCUUUAAACUCACAGCACCAUGAGUUCUGAUUCAUCUGGCUGGUGGCAGUCCCCAAAUGUGCAUUUCUAACAAGUUCCCAGGUGAUGUUAAGCAGUCAUGGGGGCCUCACCUUGAGAACUGCUGUUUUUCUGCCUGGGGGAAGGAGCCCCAGAGGUUUGUGUGUUGACCCCCUGCUCUGGCUCUCUCACACGGUUAUAACCCAUUCCGGGCGUGAGUUUAGGUGGCCGGCGUUCCCUACAGAGGUGUCGAGCCGAGGUAGCCCCUCUCUGAUGUUGGAGAGGAAAAAGAUUGUUUUCCCGUCUAUCCUCCUAGGUCCUUCAGCUGGUACCCUGCAAAGUGGAUUGACAAAAGACAGAUGAACAAGGGAAAAACAAGCAGAAGUUUAUCAACAUAUCCAUAGCACAUACACAUGGGAGAAUUCAGUGAUGAGUGGCUGACAAGGAUGGUUAGAACUUAGAAUGUCAACAACGCUUUACAGAUGAGGAAACUGAGGCUCACGGAGAGGACAGAGCGGGCCGGCCCCUCAGUGCUCAAGCCAGACCUCUGCACCUCGUUUCUGAUGCACCCUUUCUCUCCCUCACCUCCCACUCUAGUGCAAUACCCUGACCUUUAAAUUUUUAAAAUUUGUUUUCAGCCCCAAUACGUUUCUCCAUCCCGCUGCCACCACCCGGUCCAGGCCACUGUCCUCACUGACUUGGAUGAUUGCAGUUAUCUCCUCUCUGGUCCCCUGGGCCCCCUCGCCCUUCUCUACCUGCACAAAACUUUAGAGUCCCCUGGGCUUUGGGUCUGGGUGACCUGGGAUCCCUGACCCUGAUGGGUCCACUGGGGUGCUGCAUGAAGGCUCCUCCAGCAGGCAGAGAGUUUGGCUGCACCAAAAGGAGCACACCAGUUGCCUGGAUCCUGGCAGCAUCCUCUCGGGGUGACCUGCCGGCCCCAAACCCUCCCUGAAACCUCAGUUUCUGACACAUGAGGAAUGAGGCUCUCUGAGGCCCUGGGUCAGGCCUGCACGCUGAAGGGCUCUUCCUUUCCCUUCCCGGAUCGAUGCUGCUUCAGUGCUGAGGCCUGGGGCUGUUCUUAUUCCCUAGUGAGGCCCAGUGCAGAAAGUGAGCUGGAGCUUGGCGACCACAGCUCUGGGCCAGGGCAGGGCCCGAGGCUGUGUACUGUACAACCCCAGGGUGCCCUUCCCAACCUACUCAGCCGUGCACAGCCAUGGCAACUGCUGAGGCCUCUUGCCUCUCCUUGCUGCCUGCGGGCUCCGUGGGGAGGGAUCCACAGCAUGUAUGGCAAGUAUGGUUUGGGAUGCCCGGGGCCCAGAUGGGAGCUGCUCCUGCAGACACCAGCAACGUUUUCUUGUGAACCUACUGGCCAGCUGGGAAGUGUUUGAAAGGGUGGUGGGGCCUCCUUCCAUCACACACACAUAACCACAUACAGACCCACACAUACACAUGCACACACACCUAAAAUGUACACAAACACAUACACGCCCUAAACACACACACAACAGUGUACGUCGUAUUACACAGUAGUGCAAAAGAGCAGCCCCUGAUGCGUGCACCAACGUGAAGGGGCCUCACAGUCACAAACGGAGACGUGCUCGAGUUCUAGGAUAGACAUGACUCUGUGGGGAUAGAAGUCAGGCUAGGGGUUGCCUGUGGGAGCAGGUGGGCCAGUAACUGAGUGUUGGGGGUAGAACGUGGCGGAUUUGGGCUCAGAGAACAGGCAGCACCUGGAUCUGGAGGGACGGCCCGACGAGGAGAGGUUUUGGGUCCACGUGUCCUGCCCAGCAAAGAACAGGUUUUUAUCAAUGUAUGCAUUGCACACACACACGGGACAGCUCAGUGAGGAAAAAAGAUAGAUAGAUAUGUACAUAGAUAGAUAGACAGACAGACAGACAGAAAAAGCAGACACAGACACAGAUAGGUAAAGUGACAGAACAAAAAACAUACAGCCUGAUAGAUGGACCAAGAGAUAGCAUCAGAAGGAUGGACACAUAAACAGAUAUAUUAACAAAAGGACAGACAGAAAGACAGAUGGACGACACAUAGAGAAAGAUGGGCAGGAAUAUGGAUCGAGAGAUACAGGUGGACUAACAGACAAGUGAGGCAGACAGACAGACAGUAAAACUGACGGACAGGUAGACAUGUACACACACAUCUGUACAUAGAGUCAUACACACACACACACGUAGAGACAGAGAGAGAUGCACAGCCAGUGGAACAGAGGGGCAGACAGCAUUUUUUUCCUCUUUUUUUUUUUUUUUUCUGCCUUUGAAGAGUUCCUCUACUGGGGCCUCUGGGGACGAGGCCCUGUGUGGGGCACGGGGCCCGAGAAAGCCACUCCCACAAGAGGCACCAUUAUAAGCUGACUGUUAACUGGGAGCCUUGGAUUCUGGGUGAAACGUUUUGAUGACUUCGAAUGAUGUGAAGGGCAAAACAGGGUAGAUCUGACAUCUCGUAUGGCAUCAGAAUGCUUUCUGCUCUUUGAAUAUUUGACUAAGGAUAUACAUCAAGAAUUGUCAUAUUUUUAUUUUAUUUGUGCUUGUUUUGUGUUUAAGAGGAAACAUCCAGAAAAAUUCUACCCUGAAGCCUUUUUCCUGGAAUAUAUCUACUGGAACCAGCAGAGGGCAGGAAAUCAUUAGUCACCAGAUGGUGUUGCUUGGUCUGUGGACAGUAAAGUCAAGGUUUUCUUGAGCACUUGGUUAAUUAACUCCAGGAGCUGCGCACACCCAUCUACCCUUAAUGAACGUGCCGAGUCGUCAGUAUUUAUAGCGCUCAGCGUUUGUGCUCUUUCUCAGCAAUGAGAUAUCAGAGGACACAGCUGUUCUUCAAAGCAGGGUGGAAAAGCAACAAAUAUCCACUCAGUAUUAACUUUAUGGAUGGUCCAAUGGGGUUAUAUUGGAUAGACUAAAUAAAAACCCAGAAUGAAUAUCCUACUGAGAUUACCAACUUUAAGCUUAUUCUUUUUCCUCUAUAUUGCAUUAUUUACUAAAUUCUGCAUUCACAGAAAUAAGUUGGCUGUUCAGAAAGAACGACUUUUGGAAGAUAAGGAAUCAAAGUGUAUCUGAGCUCCUUACAAUUGACGACCCCCCAGCAAUGUGGUCUCUUCAUCCAAUUGCUGGCAACAAUUAGACAGGUACUCAUCAGUAUUUACAGGUGACCUCUCACCCCUCCACCGCCCCCCCCCCCCAUCAUCUCUAAUGUAAUUUGCAAUUAUAAAUGCAUUCUUAAGUUUUUACGACUUUGGAAUAAGUAGGGAUAGGCUGAUCUUAUCAUACGAAUAAGAUCAAGCAUGUUUCUCUUUGAACACGGAAAUCACGAAACAGAAGUAUUCCCGUUAAAAUUAGCUUAGAGUCAAUAAAGUCUGCUGGAAUCAACUGAUGAAUGUGAAGAGUUAAGAAACAAACAGGAGGACUCAAGCUAGAACAACGAGCAGACAAUACGGUGCUUCAGGUAAAGGAAGGCACUCCGUGCCCUCUUAAUGAACCUCACCCUGUCCCAAAGCUAGCCACACUUGUAUUCUCUAUUGGGCUUUGCCAGUUUCUGGACCUCCAAGCAAUGCAAACACACAUUAGGUACUUUUUUUAUAUCUAGCUUUUCCACUCAAGGUUAUGUCUGUGAAACUCAUCUAUAUUAUUUCGUGCAGCAAUCACUCAUUUCAUCAUUGCUAUGCACUAUUGUUUGAAUAUAUCAAAAUAUAUGUAUCUGUUCGAUUACUGGCAUAAAAUUUUUAAUUGUCUAAUUUUUCUAGCUUUUGCGUACUUGCACGUCUUUUCUUGGACAUAAGCCAUAAUCUCUGUCGGGCUGUGUCAGAGGGGGUACGUACGUAUGCUCAGCUGUAUAAAUACUGCCAAGCAGUUUUCCAAAGUUGCUGUACUAAUUUACACUCCCAUCAGCGAUGCUUAUCUUGCCAGUUUUAAAAUAUUUUAUUUAGUCUGUUUAAUUUUAGUCAUUCUGAUGUGUGUGCUGUGUAUGACAUAUUCAUUUGAAUUUCCUGAACAGUAAUGUUGUAGGAUUGGCUGUCCGAGGCUUCUAAGCCAUUUGGAUAUCAUCUUUUCUGAAGGGCUUUUUCAAACUUUUGAUUAUUUUUAAUUGGGCUCUCUUUAAAAAGAAAAUUGAUUUGUAGCAGUUCUUUAGACGUUCUGGGUAUGAAUCCUCUAUGGGAUAAAUGCAUUGCAAAUGCAUCGUUCCCGUUUGUGUCUGUUGUUUUUACCUAAAGUUCUUAAUCUUAACAAAGUCCAAUUUAGCAAUCUUUUACUUUAUGGUUAUUGCAUUUUUUGGGUCCCAUUGGAGAACGCUUUUCUGACACCAAAUUCACAGAUGCUGUAACAGAAAGAAGACGCACUCCUAUGUUUUCUUCGAGAACCUCUGCAAUCCCACCUUUCGCCUGGGCAGGACCUUCUCCAAGGUCUGCGUCCCGGCUCUGCCAGGUGACGGCCCUUCCCCAAGGGCAUGGGCUCUGCGAGCCCGAGCCCUGUCCUUUGUUUCUGCGGCCUCGCGGGCGGCGUCAACUCCCCGAGUGUGGUCUUUCUUGUCUCGGGUCCCCGCUGCGUGCUUCUCCAGCUCCCUACGUGCCCUGGUCUCUGUUAGACUAACUGGUACAAUUUCUGUUUUCCCAACUGGACAAUGACGAAACGAUUACUAACCUGGAAAAUGUAAACUAAAGCUACUUGCACUUCUCGUUACCUGUCUGAUGGGUAACAACUGAGAAGGUCAGCAAUAUCCAGGGGUGGUCAAACCAUAGGUAAAUAUAUAUACUUCUACGCUAUUUUGAGUACAUAUGAGUGCUAAUUUUUGAGGAGCCAUUUGGCGGUACAUAGUAAUAUUACAAUGUGUAUGGAUUUGACCCGUAAAUUUUCCUUCAUGCCACCCCUGCCUCUAGAGAAAGACGCUCACCUGAGUAGGAAGACUCUUACUGGCAUGAUCACCUACACGUGGUUUGGAUGUAAAUCGUCAUAACAGGACAGUUGUCAAACUGGCACCUCCGAUGUGCAACAUGAGGUCGAUCUAUACGGCCCGAACAGGGCAGAUAGGGUAUGAAAGUGUUGAUCUGUACAGAGAAGCAUCUGGUAUAGUUGUAUAAAAUUAUGGCCCACAAAUGAUCUUGUCCUGCUGAGAGUUCCAGGCACUAAACUCUCAGUUCAGUAGAGGAGUGGUGCCCUAGGUCAUCUGAUGUUUGUAGGGGACCGGGGCUCUCGUGGGGGUGCUGCUGGACCAGGGGACCACCCAGCUGUGAGGCCCCUGCAGCACGGCCGCUGGCCAAGCCCGUAAAUUCAACACUGCUCAGAAUCUUUACUUGGUUGUUCUGGUCGUCCUAAUCAUGCCGUGAGCAAGUAUGUCCCCGGGUAGUCUGAGGGCUGGGGCAUGGGAUAAGGAGGCUGCUGAAGGCCCAGCAGGCCGUGCACAGCGGCCUCCGUGGAUAGCUGGCAACACGGAGAGGUUUGCCUCCCAGCGUGGUUGCCACGCUGCCGCUUCUGUGAUUAUGUCAUUUUACAGAGCGAAGGGAUUUUGCGGAUGUCACUAAAGUUCCUGAUCAAUGACCUGUGGAGGGAUAAGACCCCAGUGGGCCUAAUCUCAUCACACGAGCCCUUGCGAACUGACUGCUGUCUCUGGCUACAGGCACAAGGGCAAGUCCGGAGUGUCCGGAGCUCAGCUGAGAGGGAGCUGAGCUGUUAGGUGUAAGUGAUUAAAGCCACGAGCCACAAAUGGAAGCGCUAAAGCUUUAAUCACUUACUGUGAUGAACGACGCAAACAUCUACAGCUGUUCCAUUUUCCCCCAGGAAAUGGUGCGCCUGUUGAGGGUUAGGCAGAGCAGAGCCGCGUGGGGGUCGUCUUACUGCAGGGGGGAGCUCAGCAAAAGGCUCUGUCGGUUCUACGGACCCAAGGCUGAGGGUGGGUGUGAGGGGGUGGGCUCGGAGUGGAAACGUCCUGGGUACCAAGUCAGAGUGGGGAAAGUGCCUUCAAGGUUUCCCCUCCUCCCCGAAGGAGGCCUCAUAGAGGCGCCUGGAGAAGACCCCUGUCCGAGGCUUCAGAUAAAGGGACCUGGGAAUGGAGGUGCUGGGGCUAGAAAUGUACAUUUGUGAGGAGCACUGCCAGCCAGGGGGCCUGAGUCCUUGACUGUGGAGGGGAGCAAAAUCUGUCAUCCCAGAAUGUGUCUCUCUGGAUAAAGAUUCAUUUAGGCUGAUUAUUUUAAGAAACAGAAGACUCAGGAAGCGUUUUUUUUUUUUUUUUUUUUUUUUUUUUUACCUCCCUCUUAGCUGCCUGUAGAAUUUAGAUAAAGGGUCUGUUCCUGGAACAGAGCUGUCACCAGAGAAAUCUGCAAAGAACGUGGGUUAUGUGUGGUGGGGAAACUCAGCAGAGCCUGGAGACCAGAGUCCAGUCUGCGUCCCACUUUCUCUGCAGGGCCCAGGAAACAGCGAUUUACUAAACAUCUGCAUGUCUGUCACCGGGUGAACUGUCUGCAUUCCCUUUGAAGCCCCAAAUCCCUACCCAACAUCCUCUAUGGUCUUUAGCUGAAGAUGGUAUUUAAGGUGAAGGUUUGGCCAUUGGCGAGUUACUCAGUUUCCCUGGGUCUCUCCCAUGUAUACAUGUUAUUAAACUUUGUUUGAUUUUCUCUUGUUA